UACAGAGGUGGCAAGCGUUGUUCGGAAUUACUGGGCGUAAAGGGCGCGUAGGCGGCCUUCUAAGUCAGACGUGAAAUCCCCCGGCUUAACCUGGGAACUGCGUCUGAUACUGGGAGGCUUGAGUAUGGGAGAGGGAUGUAGAAUUCCAGGUGUAGCGGUGAAAUGCGUAGAUAUCUGGAGGAAUACCGGUGGCGAAGGCGGCAUCCUGGACCAUAACUGACGCUGAGGCACGAAAGCUAGGGGAGCAAACGGG
rnacentral:rRNA from 1 species